GGCUCGGGCGGCCGGGGUUCGAUUCGGCAGGCCCCAUUGGCCGCCGGCUUCCUGGAGCCGUGCGCCACGCGGUGCGGGUUGGGGAGACCCCGCUUGCGCCGCUGCUGGCCGGGUGGCCGCGUCGAGAUCGGCCCAGGUGAGGCCAGCCGGCGAUGGGGUCCCACGAUGGGCAGUCGCCGCCCCCGCCUCUGCCCCCGGCCGAUCUGUACAGGGACACGUGGGUGCGCUACCUGGGAUAUGCUAAUGAGGUUGGAGAGUCCUUCCGGGCCAUUGUGCCUGUCUCGUUGGUCUGGGCAAGCUACGGAGUGGCAACAGCCUACGUGACCGCUGAUGCCAUUGAUAAGGGCAAGAAAGCAGCAGCUACCAAGUCCUGUGAGGGAGGUCAGACCACGCGAGCAGCAGUGGCGGUGAUAGACACCUUCAUAUGGCAGGCUCUGGCUUCUGUGGUCAUUCCUGGCUUCACCAUUAACCGCCUUUGUGCGGCCUCCCUCUACCUCAUGGGCAGCAUGACCCGCUGGCCCCUGUCUGUCAGGAAGUGGGCAACCACAGUUGUAGGCCUUUCAGCAAUUCCCAUCAUCAUCAAACCCAUUGACAGGUCAGUGGAUUUUUUGAUGGACUCUAGCCUUCGCAAACUCUACAGCACUGAAGAGAAACCCUCCUCUUCCUUCUGAUGUGGCUGCCACAUCCUCAGAUACCUGAAGUUACAAAGAACACAUGUGGUAUCACCUACGUCUCAUUCAUUCAUGCCAAGAAGCAAGCUAAGAGAAUUUUUUCUCCACUAUAGAGAAGAAUGGAUUUGUGUGGCAUCGCGUGACCGUAAGACUCAAGGCAGCUGGACUCCUUCACAAGUGGGGAAAGCAAUGUCCUUCAACACUGAAGUCUUCUCAACCAGCCGUUACCUCUACCAUCAGGAAUGGAUUCUGUUUCAACUUGUUCACUGUUAGCCAAUUAACCACAGCAGUAAGGCACUGGUUCAAAAUCUCUAGAAGCAUCAGGAGAUUUGGACAAAGAUAUAGAUUGGGUGUCAUCAGCAUAUUGAUGAUAGCCUAUUCCAAAACAGCAAAUGAUUUCUCCUAAGGGCAUUAAGUAGAGAUUAAACAACAUGGGAGAUAAGACGGAGCCCUGUGGAACCCUGAACGUCAGUCCAGUGAUAGUGGUCUUCAAAAGCAACCUUGCUUGGAGACUUGGAAAUAACUGGCCACAUUAUUUCUUCUCUACUGAUGCUUUUUUUCAGUAGGGGAUGAAUGCCUGUCUGUUUUAAUGAUCUGAAGAAACAUCCCUGGAUCAGUGAUGGAUUUAUAUUUCGAAACUUCAUUGAUGAAGUUGUCCUAUGCUUGCAUCAACCAAGACAAGCAUGGAUCUAUCCCUUGUUUUCACCACAGGCUCAACAGAGUUGUUUGUUGGGCUAUGAAAAUUUCCCAAGGGCAUUCUGGAAACCAGUCAGAUCGAUUAGUUGCAAGAGGCAGAUCAAUUUUACCAGCCCCUCCCUCUCGCAGAGUGCUCAGCCCCUCCCUCUUGCAGAGCAUUGGUGCCACGUUCACCUGUGUCUUGAAUAGGCAAGGUCAGACAACACUACAGGCUGAACUUCUAACCCCUUGAUCACAUCUUCUAAAGAUCCUGUCAAAAGAUUAAGUCUGAGGAAUGGUCAUUGCUAUGUGUAGGGCCCUUCACAACCUGUGAGAGGCCCAUAGCUUUAAUCAAAAAAACUGCAGGAACCCAGUGGCCAAUUCUAAGUACCGGUUCAGACAUGCCCACACAUCAGUAGCAGAGUACAGAAAUUCAGUAUCCAAUGUCUGAAGAAGAGAGUUCUCUGACCCUUGAAAGCUUACACUCCAAAAAUCUUGUUUGUCUCUAAGGUACCACUACCACUAGAUGAAAUUCCUGCUGUUCUACCGCAGACCAACAUGGCCACCCACUUAACUAUCCAGUAGCCAACAUAACUAAGCUAUCACCUUAAACACAAUGCCUUAGUCCUAUUCACACAUUUCAAAUGUCAUUCAGGUGCAGAGAUCUUAAAAGAUGUACAUGAAUUUACCACACCUCUCUAGCACUUCAAGUACAGAGAUACGUUUUUUUUCCUAUGCUGGCCAUCAAGACAGUUUUGAUCUGUAUAAACUAGAUUGCUGUUAAAGUAUAGAUAAAAGACCUGACCAUGAAGGCAAAACAUUUGUGGUAGGGUGGAGGGAGAUAACAGAGCCAUCUAUCCAACUCCUGUAAGUGCAUAAAUAUAUUCUGAAGGAUAUCCUGGUUUUCUCACUGCUCUAUUAAGAAAGUUAGCUAGACUUUCUUAGUCUAGCUUGCUAGGAUCAUCACUGCACAUGACAGAAGUCACUCUUUUCUACUUCUGGUUUAGUGACACGGAGAGAAGAAGCAUGUUGCUUGCAGAAACAAGAGGCUACCACAUUAAAAUGCCCUUCAUAGGGAAUGACCUGCCUGAGGAAGUCAGAAGAGCCCCCACUCUCCUGGCUUUCCAUAAACGAUGCAAAACUGAACUAUUCAAAAAGGCUUUUUGCUCAAAUGGGAGGGCUGCAUUGUAGGGAUAGGGUCUCAGGUGCUUCACUAACAAGUUGGGGAUCAUAGUCUUCAUCACCAUUUUUGCCUCAUAUUAUCUGCUGCUUUAAAUAUGUACUCCUAUGUACAACCAUCACUCCAUGCUGUCUAAUGUUAGUCCUAGAAUUGAUUAUGUUUUGCUUCAGUAGCUCUACUAUUGUCUUGGAUUCUUGCGAAUGCUAUGUCUUUAAACUUGUAUAUGUUUACCUUCUGGUAUUGUAUUGAAAUGUACUUACUUGAUACUGAUUGUAUUAACCUCAUACUGUGUAAUCCGCCUUGAGUCUCAGUGAGAAAGGUGGACUAUAAAUGAGGUAAAUAAAUUUUAAAAAAUGAAAAAUGGCACCAGGCCAGCUCUUC